GGGCGGUUAGCUCAAUUGGUUAGAGCAUCUCGUUUACACCGAGGAGGUUGGGGAUUCGAGUUCCUCACCGCCUACCA
rnacentral:tRNA from 1 species